AGUGAACGCUGGCGGUAGGCCUAACACAUGCAAGUCGAACGGCAGCACAGUAAGAGCUUGCUCUUACGGGUGGCGAGUGGCGGACGGGUGAGGAAUACAUCGGAAUCUACUUUUUCAUGGGGGAUAACGUAGGGAAACUUACGCUAAUACCGCAUACGACCUACGGGUGAAAGCAGGGGAUCUUCGGACCUUGCGCGAUUGAAUGAGCCGAUGUCGGAUUAGCUAGUUGGCGGGGUAAAGGCCCACCAAAGCGACGAUCCGUAGCUGGUCUGAGAGGAUGAUCAGCCACACUGGAACUGAGACACGGUCCAGACUCCUACGGGAGGCAGCAGUGGGGAAUAUUGGACAAUGGGCGCAAGCCUGAUCCAGCCAUACCGCGUGGGUGAAGAAGGCCUUCGGGUUGUAAAGCCCUUUUGUUGGGAAAGAAAAGCAGCAGGUUAAUACCCCGCUGUUCUGACGGUACCCAAAGAAUAAGCACCGGCUAACUUCGUG
rnacentral:rRNA from 1 species